AAUAAUAAUAAUAAUAAAAAAGUGAUUUCCUUUUUUUACCAGUGAGAAAAUUGGCUUUUAAUCCUUGAAUAAUUUCAAUUAAUCUCUAGUGUAGGAUCCAAUAUUGACUCAUGUACUUUGAUCUUACUUCCAUAUCAGCAUAUAAAAUCCAUGACAGAUUUGAAUUUGAAAUUUUAUUGUUUUUCUUGGUUUCUAUCUUCCUAUUUAUAGGACCUUUGGAUCCACUUUCAAACCGUUUUAUGAGGACCCCUGGAUCUCAUUUAUAGGACCCUUGGAUCUCAUUUAAGAAUUUUUGGAAAAGAGUAAUAAUGCCC
rnacentral:lncRNA from 1 species